ACAAUUAUCUCACAGAAAAUGUGGUAUUGGCUAAAGUGUGUAGUACUGAUAGUGUACUCUUCUCACUUAGCUGAAAUAGAUUGGCCAGAGAAGUAUACCACGGCAACGGACUCUAAGAGUGUAUUUGAAAUGCUAAACUAGUCUGUAGCAGGUUUGAAUCUGAGCUACAAGGACCCCCAUUUAGUCCAAAUCUAAUA
rnacentral:misc_RNA from 1 species